rnacentral:rRNA from 1 species
GACGAACGCUGGCGGCGUGCUUAACACAUGCAAGUCGAACGGAAAGGCCUGCUUUCCCUUGUGGAUUGCGGGUACUCGCGUGGCGAACGGGUGAGUAACACGUGAGUGAUCUGCCCCCAACUUGGGUAUAAGCCUGGGAAACUGGGUCUAAUUCCCGAUAGGACUGCAGGGUGGUGCCUGUGGUGGAAAACGAUUUUCUAGUGGUUGGGGAUGAGCUCGCGGCCUAUCAGCUUGUUGGUGGGGUAAUGGCCUACCAAGGCGGCGACGGGUAGCCGGCCGGGGACGGCGGACGGGAACAUUGGGACUGAGAUACGGCCCAGAGACCUACGGGAGGCAGCAGGGGGGAAGAUUGGACGAUGGGCGGAAGCCUGAUGCAGCGACGCAGCGGGGGGGAUGACGGGCGUCGGGUUGUAAGCUCCUGUCGACGGAGAGGAAGCCACCUGGUUGGAAGGGUGGUGACGGUAGUGGUAGAAUAAGCACCGGCUAACUACGUG